UACGUAGGGUGCGAGCGUUCAUCGGAAUUACUGGGCGUAAAGCGUGCGCAGGCGGCUUUGCAAGACAGAUGUGAAAUCCCCGGGCUCAACCUGGGAACUGCAUUUGUGACUGCAAGGCUAGAGUACGGCAGAGGGGGAUGGAAUUCCGCGUGUAGCAGUGAAAUGCGUAGAUAUGCGGAGGAACACCAAUGGCGAAGGCAAUCCCCUGGGCCUGUACUGACGCUCAUGCACGAAAGCGUGGGGAGCAAACAGG
rnacentral:rRNA from 1 species